rnacentral:SRP_RNA from 1 species
ACGGGUAAGUCUCACACGACCAGCUCCCUCUGAACUCCCCCAGGGCCGGAAGGCAGCAAGGGUAGGAGGUCGUAGCGGUGCGAUGUGAACAGCUUACCCU